rnacentral:rRNA from 1 species
UGGGGAAUAUUGCACAAUUGGCGCAAGCCUGAUGCAGCCAUGCCGCGUGUAUGAAGAAGGCCUUCGGGUUGUAAAGUACUUUCAGCGGGGAGGAAGGGAGUAAAGUUAAUACCUUUGCUCAUUGACGUUACCCGCAGAAGAAGCACCGGCUAACUCCGUGCCAGCAGCCGCGGUAAUACGGAGGGUGCAAGCGUUAAUCGGAAUUACUGGGCGUAAAGCGCACGCAGGCGGUUUGUUAAGUCAGAUGUGAAAUCCCCGGGCUCAACCUGGGAACUGCAUCUGAUACUGGCAAGCUUGAGUCUCGUAGAGGGGGGUAGAAUUCCAGGUGUAGCGGUGAAAUGCGUAGAGAUCUGGAGGAAUACCGGUGGCGAAGGCGGCCCCCUGGACGAAGACUGACGCUCAGGUGCGAAAGCGUGUGGAGCAAACAGG